AUAAAGAAUGCCCAGCACUAAAAGUGAUGUUUUUUAAUGGUUCCACAAUGAGGUUAUGGUGACAGCAAACCGCCUCGUUACAAAAUAUACUGUGAAUCCAGUAAGUAAUGUUUUCUGUUAUAUGACAGUAUCUUCACUAUAGUUUUAAUUUGCUUUGUCCUCUAUUUAGAGGGGGACAUUGGGGGUAUUCAAUACCGUAAUACCGCAAGCAAAUUUUCUCUAUAACCGCAGUUUUUGAGUCCAAAAUUGCAAAUACCGCAAGAUUUCCAAUAUCGUAAUACCGCAAUUUUUUAAGGAAAAUACCGAAAUACCAGCCGUUCCGCACGUUGUAACCAAUAAUUUAUUGGCGUUGUAAUGCCAUUGUAUGCAAUAAAGUAUUGGGUUGUAAUGGUCUACAAUUAAUCCAAAUGUUAAUCCUAAUCCAAACCCUAAUCCUAACCUCUAACCCUUAACCCCCCACACCCUAACCGCCGGCCAGCUACCCCUCUGGGGAAAUACCCCCCCCCCCCCUUUUAGUACAUUUUGAAAGUCUACUGUUGAGUGGUAACUUGCCUUAAACAACUUUUUACACGUUUGUAUGCAAUAUUGAAAAUUUUUUCACGCUUGUAAGUGUUUCCACUUAGAGGAAAAUGUUUGUGGAAAAUGAAAAUUUGUGGCAAUAUUAGGGAAAUUUAUGUUUGGAUGUGGAAACACUGACUAACAAAAUGGCGUCCGGUUGUUAGGAAAAUUAAAAGAAAAGUUUAAAACAAAAGUUUAAACCGACCUACCCUACCUAAAUUUUUACAAGAGGAAACUGGAAACCCACAUAUUUUUUUUGGUCCAAUCUACAGAAAUGUCUUUUUUUACCAAUGUUUAGGAAGCACAGAUGAAUUGAUGUGAAUAUUCAAUUGGAUGUUGAAACAAUGGAAAUACAAAAACAAAAAUAGACCUACAAUAUUAACAGACACACAGUACAAACAGCUACAGUCUGGCUAAUCCUUCAGAUGAGAUCUGGCUACAAGAAGGUGCUCGAUCAUUAAGCAUGCAGGAGC